rnacentral:lncRNA from 1 species
GCUCUGAGCCUGUUUGCUGUAGAAAUCAAUAAAGUGUUGUGGUGCGAAAAUACACAGCCAGGCCAUUUCUGUGUCUCCCAGAACUCUGUGCAUGGGGUGUGGAGAGACACCCAGAGAGGAGGAGGGGGCACCAUCCAGACCCCAAACAGAUCCUGCAGGGGCGCCGCCAGGCACACACAGCUGACGUACCCACAUGCCUUCCAGGGGUGCCCAGACGCCAGGGUCAGGCCCUACAGACUUUACUGGGACUCAGCCUGUGCCCAGCAGGCCAGGAGGGGCUGGGACAGAGUGACAGCCAAGGAGCCUCAGGUCACCAGGGUCUGUGGAAGCGACCUGGGAGGUCUAUGCUCCGCCUGUCCAGGGGGCCGGGGCUGGCCGGGUUCCGGGGCACUUCCUCCCCUCCCCGCAUCCCCGUGCCUGUGUACCUGGGACACAGAGGGCCUGCAGGGCGGUAGCGUGGCCCUGGAAGGGAUGUCAGGACAACAGGCCGUUGUGUUGUGCCCAAGAUUGCGAAUUCGCAAUUCGAAUUCGAAACCACCAAGGAUCCCACACUGAUGCGAACUCCCGAGGGUUUCUCUACAAGCUGGAGCUUGGGUACAAGUGCACUGGACACAGAGGAGUAGGGACUUGGACCCCAAGACUAAGAGGUGUAGCAGCUUUAGAAGAGCCAGUGGCCCAAGGGAACGCUGAAAGAUGCGUAGUCAUGUCGGUUCACAUGCAGGUGGCCGAUUGAAUUACAUUUUAUCCUAUAGUAUCGACUUGAACUAGCCUAUUACUUUGGUCAGAAUUGGCGCACAGCUUUGUGGGGCACAAAUCAGGGUUGCAUUGUUAUGAAUGGAUUUCGGAUUAGGGUGUGCCCAGCGGCUUGAGUCGGGUGGGGCAGCGCCUUAAGCCAUAAGUAGGUCAUGUGGGGUCAUAGGGGAGAUGGCCUAUGACCAUUUGGAGCACAAAAUGGAAUCAGUCCUGCUCUGCCUGUCCAGGGGUAAGGGAUUUUUGUUAAAAUUCCUGGGUCCCACACUGCAGCUCAUGCACGUGGGCCACCCUCACAAGGUGUACUCAGCCUGCACACCUUGUGGUGCUAGAUCUCUCACACUAGCAUGUUGAGGGAACCCUCCUCGCCUUAG